rnacentral:miRNA from 1 species
ACACACCUUAUUUGUGUAUAUCUU